rnacentral:tRNA from 1 species
GCGCGCGUGCUGGAAUUGGUAGACAGGCCAGCUUGAGGUGCUGGUGUCCUUCGGGACGUGGAGGUUCAAGUCCUCUCGCGCGCACCA